rnacentral:lncRNA from 1 species
UUUGAAGAGAGAGUAUUUGAAACAUUUAUGCGAGUCUAUUUGUAACAUUUUAUUUCUAGACAUUGCCAUUUGGCAUUUUAUGUUGGCGUUGUAAAGUUACAAAACUCUUUCUGCGCAUGCGUUAAAAGAAGUAUACAUCCCUGAGAAUCUCGCCAUUACCCAGAUCAGCCGAGGACGUGUCUUACUAAAAAAGAUUCCAGUUUUUGAUGAACGCUGGAGGAAAAGGGGGCUUAUAUCAACGCGUAACCAAAUUGGCGGAAUUAAAAAUAUCGUAAAACUUAAAAGUUCGCGUAAAAGACUUGUGGUAAACUCACCAAGUUCAAAGAUAACCUUUGAUUAAAUUGAAGGAAAUUUCUUUUUGACAGUCAGGUGUAACGCAACCUUUAGAAAGUUUUAAAAAUAUCCGCGGAAUUGUUUUUCAAUAGCAAUAGUUUGUUAUUGAUUGACAGAUUAUUUCAAGUAAAGGACGAAGAAAAUAGGAAGAAGUCGCUAAUUACAUUUCUAUUUAAAGAUUACAAACCGAGCCUUUGUUUUUGCAACUUUAGUAGUCGUCUUUUCGGAAGCCAGGGGAAAGGUCAAAGUUCAUCAAGUAUCAUAGCAACAAAAUAGUGCGCAAGGAUCAUCUAUAUAUAAGAGCACCCGGAGGGAGAUAUACUCAAACACUGAAUUUUGGGCAACACAGGUUCAUACAAUUCAAGAAAGACAACAACAAUGAAUGGAAGGCGCGUACUGAUAGCCAUAUCUUUGGUCGUCUGCUGUUCUACGGCGCUAACGCAGACAGUUUCAGAGGCGGAUUACGUCAAAGGCACCCUUUCACACUGCACAGCUCAUCUCUACAGAUUGAUACUGUGCCUGUCAGACAACAAACCACUCCUGUUUGAGAUGAAAAAAUGCGAUAAUGUUCUUACACAAACUUUCAUUUGUUUGGCAAGCAGUCGAUCAGGAAGUCCAUUUACGCAUGCGCUACCGGAAUCGGAAGAUAAUGGCGGCUUUAGUAUGUUAAAACGUGGUCUAGGUCAAUGUAUUCACAGAUGUCUGAACGGUCAGGGCAGAAUGAACUUUAUUCAAUGUAAAUCAAUGUGUCAUAGAUGAACUUAAAGUAAUGCAUAUCAGAAAU